CGGUAAUACGUAGGGUGCGAGCGUUAAUCGGAAUUACUGGGCGUAAAGCGUGCGCAGGCGGAUUGUUAAGCAAGAUGUGAAAUCCCCGGGCUUAACCUGGGAAUGGCAUUUUGAACUGGCAGUCUAGAGUGUGUCAGAGGGGGGUGGAAUUCCACGUGUAGCAGUGGAAUGCGUAGAGAUGUGGAGGAACACCGAUGGCGAAGGCAGCCCCCUGGGAUAACACUGACGCUCAUGUACGAAAGCGUGGGUAGCAAACAGGAUUAGAUACCCUGGUAGUCCACGCCCUAAACGAUGUCAACUGGUUGUUGGGGGAGUGAAAUCCCUUAGUAACGAAGCUAACGCGUGAAGUUGACCGCCUGGGGAGUACGGUCGCAAGAUUAAA
rnacentral:rRNA from 1 species